AGGAUGAACGCUGGCGGCGUGCCUAAUACAUGCAAGUCGAGCGGUAAGGCCACUUCGGUGGUACACGAGCGGCGGACGGCUGAGUAACACGUAGGAACGUACCCCAAAGUGAGGCAUAAGCACCAGAAAUGGUGUCUAAUACCGCAUGUGAUCUUCGGAUUAAAGCUUCGGCGCUUUGGGAACGGCCUGCGCAUGAUUAGCUUGUUGGUGAGGUAAUAGCUCACCAAGGCGACGAUCAUUAGCUGGUCUGAGAGGAUGACCAGCCAGACUGGGACUGAGAACGGCCCAGACUCCUACGGGGGGCAGCAGUGAGGAAUUUUCGUCAAUGGGGGAAACCCUGAACGAGCAACGCCGCGUGCAGGAAGACACUUUUCGGAGCGUAAACUGCUUUUCUCGGGGACGAGUAAGGACGGUACCCGAGGAAUCAGCCCCGGCUAACUACGUGCCAGCAGCCGC
rnacentral:rRNA from 1 species